rnacentral:lncRNA from 1 species
AUAUGAAGUGGAUCGUCAGAUGCACCAUUUGAAGCUCUGCCAACUGGGGAUUUCUGCUCAGCAUUGUAUUUCUUGACCACAUUUGAUCGAGAGUCUACUCCUCUCUGCAGAUGAGAUUCCCUGGUUGCCACUCAACUUUCCUGCUUAAUAUGAUCGUUGUGAUCAUCUUGCUUUUGAAAUGCUCAUCGGCAGAAGGGACUUGCCUUGUCUCAAAUGAGAUUUUGAAGUUGUACUUUUCGGUUAAUUCUGGAGUUAAGACUUUGGGAGACUGUUGAGAAGGCAUGAUUGUGUUUUGAAAUGUGAGGACAUGAGAUUUGGGAGGGGCUGAGGGUAGAAUGAUAUAAUUUGGCUGGGUCCCACCAAAAUCUCAUCUUGAAUUGUAGUUCCCAUAAUCCCCAUGUGUCCCGGGAGGAACAUGGUUAGAGUUAAUUUAAUCACGGGAAUGGUUACCCUCAUGCUGUUCUUGUGAUAGUGAGUGAGUUGUCUAAUGGUUUUAUAUGGGGCUUUUCCCCCUUUUGCUCAGCACUUCUCCUUCCUGCCACCAUGUGAAGAAGGACAUAUUUGUUUCCCCUCCUGCAUGAUUGUAAGUUUCCUGAGGCCUCUCUAGCUUUGUGAAACUUUGUGUCAAUUAAAUCUCUUUCCUUUAUAAAUUACCCAGUCUCUGCCAGUUCUUUAUAGUAGCUCGAGAGUGGACUAAUGCAGUCAGACUGACCAGGUGGCAGAGAAGGAGAGAAGACAGGACACCCUCAGCUCUUGAGGGGCAUUAGGAGGAUCCAAGAAAGGGCAACUGCCAGAGUCCAUCAGAGAGACCGUGCACACAACCAAGUCCACAGAGUACCAGGCAGGCUGGCACUCAGAGCUCUCAAUCCAGAGUUCAGCCCAGUGGGGUCAGGGACCUGAGGGAGAUAAGGGGAAAGGGAGAAGGGAGGACAGGACAAUGAGCAGGAAUAGGCUUGGGAAAUCUGGACACCAUCAUCUCCAGUUGGACAUGGCCAUGUGAUGUGAGUGAGCAGGCCUGAUAGCUGAAUGCACCAGUGGCAUGCUGGACAACUUAGCCGUGUAGGAAAAAAAAAUCCCUGUUUUCAUCUGCUUUCACACCACAACAAUCAACAAAGACUUCUGUGACUGAAUGUAUGGGGAUUUCUCCUCACCAAAAGCACGAAAUCAAUUCUACACAGACAGCUAGGUGCCUUUUAAUUCAAUUCCAUUCUGAUGCCAUCUAUCUGGAGAUAGCAUCAUAUCCACAGGUUGAGGACUCAGUCCCACAACAGUGCCCUCACUUCAGAUGCUAGUCAAAAGUCCAGGCCCCUGGAACUUGUAACUGAUUGGCUUCAACUUCAGGUUGUCAUGACCCCUUCUUCAGGCUUGAUUUGCUAGAUAAGCUAACAAAAUUCAGGGAAACAUUUAUGUUUACUGGUUUAUAACAAAGGAUAUUUUAAAGGACACAAUGAAACAGCCAUAUGAAGAG